rnacentral:rRNA from 1 species
UAUUGCACAAUGGGCGAAAGCCUGAUGCAGCGACGCCGCGUGAGGGAUGACGGCCUUCGGGUUGUAAACCUCUUUCAGCAGGGAAGAAGCGAAAGUGACGGUACCGUGGGAAUCAGCCCCGGCUAACUACGUGCCAGCAGCCGCGGUAAUACGUAGGGGGCGAGCGUUGUCCGGAUUCAUUGGGCGUAAAGCGCUCGCAGGCGGUCGGCCGCGUCCGGCGUGAAGGCCCUCGGCUCAACCGAGGGUGGUCGUCGGAAACGGGUCGGCUGGAGGUAGGUAGGGGGACGCGGAAUUCCCGGUGUAGUGGUGGAAUGCGUAGAGAUCGGGAGGAACACCGGCGGCGAAGGCGGCGUUCUGGACCUGGCCUGACGCUCAGGAGCGAAAGCGUGGGGAGCGAUC